AUUGAACGCUGGCGGCAGGCNUAACACAUGCAAGUCGAGCGGUAACAUUUCAAAAGCUUGCUUUUGGAGAUGACGAGCGGCGGACGGGUGAGUAAUGCCUGGGAAAUUGCCCUGAUGUGGGGGAUAACCAUUGGAAACGAUGGCUAAUACCGCAUAGUAGCUUCGGCUUAAAGAGGGGGACCUUCGGGCCUCUCGCGUCAGGAUAUGCCCAGGUGGGAUUAGCUAGUUGGUGAGGUAAUGGCUCACCAAGGCGACGAUCCCUAGCUGGUCUGAGAGGAUGAUCAGCCACACUGGAACUGAGACACGGUCCAGACUCCUACGGGAGGCAGCAGUGGGGAAUAUUGCACAAUGGGCGCAAGCCUGAUGCAGCCAUGCCGCGUGUGUGAAGAAGGCCUUCGGGUUGUAAAGCACUUUCAGUCGUGAGGAAGGGUGUGUAUUUAAUAGAUGCGCACUUUGACGUUAGCGACAGAAGAAGCACCGGCUAACUCCGUGC
rnacentral:rRNA from 1 species